GCGUGAGUGACGAAGGCCUUAGGGUUGUAAAGCUCUUUUGUCGGGGACGAUAAUGACGGUACCCGAAGAAUAAGCUCCGGCUAACUUCGUGCCAGCAGCCGCGGUAAUACGAAGGGAGCUAGCGUUGUUCGGAAUCACUGGGCGUAAAGCGCACGUAGGCGGAUUUGUAAGUCAGGGGUGAAAUCCCGGGGCUCAACCUCGGAACUGCCUCUGAUACUGCAGGUCUCGAAUCCGGUAGAGGUGGGUGGAAUUCCUAGUGUAGAGGUGAAAUUCGU
rnacentral:rRNA from 1 species